rnacentral:rRNA from 1 species
GUUAUAUGGUCAAGUGAAGAAGCGCAUACGGUGGAUGCCUUGGCAGUCAGAGGCGAUGAAAGACGUGGUAGCCUGCGAAAAGCUUCGGGGAGUCGGCAAACAGACUUUGAUCCGGAGAUGUCUGAAUGGGGGAACCCAGCCAUCAUAAGAUGGUUAUCUUGUACUGAAUACAUAGGUGCAAGAGGCGAACCAGGGGAACUGAAACAUCUAAGUACCCUGAGGAAAAGAAAUCAACCGAGAUUCCCUUAGUAGUGGCGAGCGAACGGGGACUAGCCCUUAAGUGGCUUUGAGAUUAGCGGAACGCUCUGGAAAGUGCGGCCAUAGUGGGUGAUAGCCCUGUACGCGAAAAUCUCUUAGUCAUGAAAUCGAGUAGGACGGGGCACGAGAAACCUUGUCUGAAUAUGGGGGGACCAUCCUCCAAGGCUAAAUACUACUGACUGACCGAUAGUGAACUAGUACCGUGAGGGAAAGGCGAAAAGAACCCCGGAGAGGGGAGUGAAAUAGAUCCUGAAACCGUAUGCGUACAAGCAGUGGGAGCCCACUUUGUUGGGUGACUGCGUACCUUUUGUAUAAUGGGUCAGCGACUUAUUUUCAGUGGCGAGCUUAACCGAAUAGGGGAGGCGUAGCGAAAGCGAGUCUUAAUAGGGCGUCUAGUCGCUGGGAAUAGACCCGAAACCGGGCGAUCUAUCCAUGGGCAGGUUGAAGGUUGGGUAACACUAACUGGAGGACCGAACCGACUACCGUUGAAAAGUUAGCGGAUGACCUGUGGAUCGGAGUGAAAGGCUAAUCAAGCUCGGAGAUAGCUGGUUCUCCUCGAAAGCUAUUUAGGUAGCGCCUCAUGUAUCACUGUAGGGGGUAGAGCACUGUUUCGGCUAGGGGGUCAUCCCGACUUACCAAACCGAUGCAAACUCCGAAUACCUACAAGUGCCGAGCAUGGGAGACACACGGCGGGUGCUAACGUCCGUCGUGAAAAGGGAAACAACCCAGACCGUCAGCUAAGGUCCCAAAGUCAUGGUUAAGUGGGAAACGAUGUGGGAAGGCUUAGACAGCUAGGAGGUUGGCUUAGAAGCAGCCACCCUUUAAAGAAAGCGUAAUAGCUCACUAGUCGAGUCGGCCUGCGCGGAAGAUGUAACGGGGCUCAAACCAUGCACCGAAGCUACGGGUAUCACUUAGGUGAUGCGGUAGAGGAGCGUUCUGUAAGCCUGUGAAGGUGAGUUGAGAAGCUUGCUGGAGGUAUCAGAAGUGCGAAUGCUGACAUGAGUAACGACAAUGGGUGUGAAAAACACCCACGCCGAAAGACCAAGGUUUCCUGCGCAACGUUAAUCGACGCAGGGUUAGUCGGUCCCUAAGGCGAGGCUGAAAAGCGUAGUCGAUGGAAAACAGGUUAAUAUUCCUGUACUUCUGGUUAUUGCGAUGGAGGGACGGAGAAGGCUAGGCCAGCUUGGCGUUGGUUGUCCAAGUUUAAGGUGGUAGGCUGGAAUCUUAGGUAAAUCCGGGAUUCUAAGGCCGAGAGCUGAUGACGAGUUGCCAUUAGGCGACGAAGUGGUUGAUGCCAUGCUUCCAAGAAAAGCUUCUAAGCUUCAGGUAACCAGGAACCGUACCCCAAACCGACACAGGUGGUUGGGUAGAGAAUACCAAGGCGCUUGAGAGAACUCGGGUGAAGGAACUAGGCAAAAUGGCACCGUAACUUCGGGAGAAGGUGCGCCGGUGAGGGUGAAGGACUUGCUCCGUAAGCCCAUGCCGGUCGAAGAUACCAGGCCGCUGCGACUGUUUAUUAAAAACACAGCACUCUGCAAACACGAAAGUGGACGUAUAGGGUGUGACGCCUGCCCGGUGCCGGAAGGUUAAUUGAUGGGGUUAGCUAACGCGAAGCUCUUGAUCGAAGCCCCGGUAAACGGCGGCCGUAACUAUAACGGUCCUAAGGUAGCGAAAUUCCUUGUCGGGUAAGUUCCGACCUGCACGAAUGGCGUAACGAUGGCGGCGCUGUCUCCACCCGAGACUCAGUGAAAUUGAAAUCGCUGUGAAGAUGCAGUGUAUCCGCGGCUAGACGGAAAGACCCCGUGAACCUUUACUAUAGCUUUGCACUGGACUUUGAAUUUGCUUGUGUAGGAUAGGUGGGAGGCUUUGAAGCGUGGACGCCAGUUCGCGUGGAGCCAACCUUGAAAUACCACCCUGGCAACUUUGAGGUUCUAACUCAGGUCCGUUAUCCGGAUCGAGGACAGUGUAUGGUGGGUAGUUUGACUGGGGCGGUCUCCUCCUAAAGAGUAACGGAGGAGUACGAAGGUGCGCUCAGACCGGUCGGAAAUCGGUCGUAGAGUAUAAAGGCAAAAGCGCGCUUGACUGCGAGACAGACACGUCGAGCAGGUACGAAAGUAGGUCUUAGUGAUCCGGUGGUUCUGUAUGGAAGGGCCAUCGCUCAACGGAUAAAAGGUACUCCGGGGAUAACAGGCUGAUACCGCCCAAGAGUUCAUAUCGACGGCGGUGUUUGGCACCUCGAUGUCGGCUCAUCACAUCCUGGGGCUGAAGCCGGUCCCAAGGGUAUGGCUGUUCGCCAUUUAAAGUGGUACGCGAGCUGGGUUUAGAACGUCGUGAGACAGUUCGGUCCCUAUCUGCCGUGGACGUUUGAGAUUUGAGAGGGGCUGCUCCUAGUACGAGAGGACCGGAGUGGACGAACCUCUGGUGUUCCGGUUGUCACGCCAGUGGCAUUGCCGGGUAGCUAUGUUCGGGAAAGAUAACCGCUGAAAGCAUCUAAGCGGGAAACUUGCCUCAAGAUGAGAUCUCACUGGAACCUUGAGUUCCCUAAAGGGCCGUCGAAGACUACGACGUUGAUAGGCAGGGUGUGUAAGCGCUGUGAGGCGUUGAGCUAACCUGUACUAAUUGCCCGUGAGGCUUGACCAUAUAACACCCAAGCAAUU